UACAGAGGGUGCAAGCGUUGUCCGGAAUCACUGGGCGUAAAGCGCACGUAGGCGGAUUCUUAAGUCGGUGGUGAAAUCCUGGAGCUCAACUCCAGAACUGCCUUUGAUACUGAAGAUCUUGAGUUCGGGAGAGGUGAGUGGAACUGCGAGUGUAGAGGUGAAAUUCGUAGAUAUUCGCAAGAACACCAGUGGCGAAGGCGGACUCACUGGCCCGAUACUGACGCUGAGGCACGAAAGCGUGGG
rnacentral:rRNA from 1 species